AACACAGUGGCUCAGUGUAUAAGGGUAUGCUGCUGUGAAUGCCAAGGUUGUGGGUUUGAAUCCCACCUGUAAUG
rnacentral:tRNA from 1 species